ACGUAGGUGGCAAGCGUUGUCCGGAUUUACUGGGUGUAAAGGGCGUGUAGGCGGGAUUGCAAGUCAGAUGUGAAAUCUCUCAGCUUAACUGAGAGCGUGCAUUUGAAACUGCAGUUCUUGGGUGAUGGAGAGGCAGGCGGAAUUCCUCGUGUAGCGGUGAAAUGCGUAGAUAUGAGGAGGAACACCAGUGGCGAAGGCGGCCUGCUGGACAUUAACUGACGCUGAGGCGCGAAAGCGUGGGGAGCAAACAG
rnacentral:rRNA from 1 species